UACCAGCUCCCUGAGUGGUAAGGACGAUUAUUUGGCCUAAAGCGUCCGUAGCCGGCUUAUCAAGUCUCUUGUUAAACCCAAUGAUUCAAUCAUUGAUCUGCAAGAGAUACUGCUAUGCUAGAGGACGGGAGAGGUCGACGGUAGUCCAGGGGUAGGGGUGAAAUCCUAUAAUCCUUGGAGGACCACCAGUGGCGAAGGCGGUCGACUAGAACGUGCCUGACGGUGAGGGACGAAAGCUGGGGGGAGCGGAACCGGAUUAGAUACCCGGGUAGUCCCAGCUGUAAACGAUGCGGGCUAGGUGUUGGGGUAGCUACGAGCUACUCCAGUGCCGCAGAGAAGUUGCUAAGCCCCGCGCCUGGGGAGUACGGCCGCAAGGCUAGAAAACCUUAAAGGAAUUGGCGGGGGAGCACCACGAAGGGGUGAAGGCUGCGGUUU
rnacentral:rRNA from 1 species